rnacentral:rRNA from 1 species
GUCUACAGCCAUGCUACCCUGAACAAGCCCGAUCCCAUCUGAUCUCAGAAGCUAAGCAGGUUGGGCCUGGUUAGUACUUGGAUAGGAGACCACCUAGGAAGACCGGGUGCUGUAGGUG